rnacentral:lncRNA from 1 species
AUUUUGCCAGAGCAGGCAAAUGCCACAAAAGGAAGCCAGCUUAAUUUAUCUCUGCUCAAGGGGACUUGUGGUACCACCAGGGGCAGGAGUUGAGAGACGUCACAGGUUUCACCUAGCCCAUGGCCAAGUCAGGGUCUCUGAAGAACCCCCACGAAAAGUGCCAACUGGAAGAGCCAACAUUUGGAUCUUACCAUUUGGAAGGCUUUCAACAGUCAAGAGAGCAUCACAGCCAGCAUCUGCCUCCAUCUCUCAUCCCUCCACAGCUAUUAUAUUGGAAAAUCCAUCAGCAGUUAGGUCACAUAGGAGAGUGAUCAGCAUAUCUUGGGAGCACAGUAGACACAGGUUAAGGAGAUCCCCUGCCUGCAGUGUCCCAAUCAAAUCAUAGGAACACUGUGAGACUCUGGGGUGAGCUUGCAUUUGCAGACAGGAACUGAAGGGCUGGAGAGGUUACACUCACCCAGGUGCAGUUGCCCAGCAUGUGAAAGAGGAGACAUUCUAAACCCUGCACUUAAAAAAUAAAUAAAUAAAUAAAGUUACAGACU